rnacentral:rRNA from 1 species
UACGUAGGGUGCAAGCGUUAAUCGGAAUUACUGGGCGUAAAGCGUGCGCAGGCGGUUGUGCAAGACCGAUGUGAAAUCCCCGGGCUCAACCUGGGAAUGGCAUUGGUGACUGCACGGCUAGAGUGUGUCAGAGGGGGGUAGAAUUCCACGUGUAGCAGUGAAAUGCGUAGAGAUGUGGAGGAAUACCGAUGGCGAAGGCAGCCCCCUGGGAUAACACUGACGCUCAUGCACGAAAGCGUGGGAAGCAAACAGG